GACAGAGGGUGCAAACGUUGUUCGGAAUUACUGGGCGUAAAGCGCACGUAGGCGGACAUUUAAGUCAGGGGUGAAAUCCCGGGGCUCAACCUCGGAACUGCCUUUGAUACUGGGUGUCUUGAGUAUGGAAGAGGUAAGUGGAAUUGCGAGUGUAGAGGUGAAAUUCGUAGAUAUCAGGAGGAACACCUGUGGCGAAAGCGGCUCACUGGACCAUAACUGACGCUGAUGCACGAAAGCUAGGGGAGCAAACAGG
rnacentral:rRNA from 1 species